rnacentral:rRNA from 1 species
AGCGAACGCUGGCGGCAUGCCUAACACAUGCAAGUCGCACGGGUGGGCUUCGGCCUCCCAGUGGCGGACGGGUGAGGAACGCGUAGGGACCUGUCGAGGGGUGGAGGAUAACUGCGGGAAACUGCGGCUAAUACCGCAUGACGCCGCGGCGUGACAGCCGGGGCCAAAGGCGAAAGCCGCCCGCCGAGGGGCCUGCGUCCGAUUAGCUGGUUGGCGGGGUAGCGGCCCACCAAGGCGUCGAUCGGUAGCUGGUCUGAGAGGGUGAUCAGCCACACCGGGACUGAGACACGGCCCGGACUCCUACGGGAGGCAGCAGUGGGGAAUAUUGGACAAGGGGCGCAAGCCUGAUCCAGCAAUGCCGCGUGGGUGAAGAAGGUCUUCGGAUUGUAAAGCCCUUUCGGCGGGGACGAUGGUGACGGUACCCGCAGAAGAAGCCCCGGCUAACUUCGUG